UACGUAGGGGGCUAGCGUUGUCCGGAAUCAUUGGGCGUAAAGCGCGUGUAGGCGGCCCGGUAAGUCCGCUGUGAAAGUCGGGGGCUCAACCCUCGAAAGCCGGUGGAUACUGUCGGGCUCGAGUGCGGAAGAGGCGAGUGGAAUUCCUGGUGUAGCGGUGAAAUGCGUAGAUAUCAUUUGGAACGCCAAUGGUGAAAACAGCUCGCUGGGGAUGUACUGACGCUGAGACACGAAAGCCAGGGGAGCAAACGGG
rnacentral:rRNA from 1 species